CAGUGCCGGGUCUGCGCAGCCACAAGUCCCGGACGUCUUGGCCCCGGGAAUAAAUAAAGACAUAAACCAGCCCGGCUUUCUCCGGAGAAAUGAGGUCUGAUCAAUGGGCACAAUUUCUAAGCAGCGCAGUGGUGGAUGCUCGCAAACUUUUGCGCACCGCUGGAAACCCACUAGGUUGAGUUGCAAAACGUACCGCGUAGACGCCCCUGGUGGCGCCGAGAGAAGAGCUAGGCCUGCCCAGCACAGAGCCGGAGAGCGUCGGGCCUUCCGGAAGGGUCGACGAGAUGAGUUCCUACUUGACCUCUGAGCCGAGGUGGGCCGGAAACCGAGGCCUAGGCCCCGCCGGGGCUGCAAGGAAAAGGCGAAACUCCGAGCGUAGCGUCUUUUCCGUGUGGUUCCUUUCUCUGGCAUCCCGGACCGCGGGCCCUGCAGCCACCUGGACCGGCGUUCAAAGGAUUCUGCAAGUCCAGCUUCACAGACUGGCUUUCCCAGACGCUCCGAAGCCCGCACCACGAACAGAAUAAAGGAGAGACGAGAGAUCGCAACUAGAUUUGAGAAUCCUCGUUCUUUUCCCCAAUCGUUCGGGCAGUAAACUCCGGAGCCGGCUACAGCGCGCAUCCUCCCUUCCUCCUUUAGGAGGACUGUCGCUUUCCCGAAGCUGCUCCCAGCUGGGCUUUCUCCCGAAGUUUAUUUUUCUCAUUUUGCAAAAUUCCUGCCCUGAUUUUAAUACUGCAACAGGACAGCAGAGGUUCCUCUUUAAAAAGUCAAAACCCAAACCAAAGGGGCCCAUUGCUGUUGAUAAUUUUUUUCUUCACUUUCUCC
rnacentral:antisense_RNA from 1 species